CGGCGGUUUCGUAAAGGACCCUUUCCAGAGGCGCAGAGUUAUUGCCUUGCUGGGCAGGGAGUGGCUGACUCGUCCAAAAAGGUGUCACUGGCUCCGAGGGCCACCAUUCUUUGCGACUCCUUGGCAUGAAAAAUGGUGAUACUGCAGCCCAGAGAAGUUAAGUAAUACCAGCUAACCUGGUCCCAGAUUGGGAUUUACAUUCUCCUGCCAACAUCGUGUAUGGAGUUAACCAAGCAGUAACCCAGAAAGAGACCGGGCUAGUGACCAGCAUGUGACAGGACUGGAACUGACCUCGCCCUGAACCUUGCAGUCAGAUCUGUGGCAUCCAAGUCUUGGGGGAAAAAAUCAGUUUCCUAUUUCAUCACAGAACUGUGACUUGAAUUUUGGACAGUGAAUCAUAUAAACUCAAUUAGAUAAACUGGCGGCUACAAUCCUUUAACUAAAGGAUUUUAAAGUCUGGGAACAUCAUACCAAGUCCAGUAUGGUCUGAGGGAUGGCACUUGUCUUCGUCAAGACCCCAAGUCUAUGACAUUGAAAGGUCAAGGAGGCACCCAGAACUAUUGCCUCCUCAAGAUAAGGGUCGGCACCCAGUGGGUGUGCUGUGAGCUUGAUGGAGGGUGGAGUCAAAACAGAACACAGAUUUAUUUCCUUAAGGAAAACAUGACUCUGUCAGGCAUCAGAAAAGACGGGACUGCUUCCAACACAUCCUGACGGUAGCCUCAGACUAUGUGCAACCCUGAGAAAUGCUUCUUGCUCUUCUACAAGUAGAGGAUCAUCUUGAACAAAAGGUCCCUCCCAAACAGACAUCCGUCGGCACAUGCUAAUUUCUUAGCCGAAAGAAGCGGGGCUAAGAAGUGGGGCUUACAUGUUUGGCUGGAAUUUAAAAGGAUUAAAUGGGGCAGAAUCUAGCAGCACAGCUCCGUGGGAUGGUUUUUAUUUUCUUAAAAACAAACCAUUAGAUCAGAAAGCUUCUCUCUUGGUUACACAUUCACACACACACAGACAGGCACACCCAACAUUCCUACCUUUACAGCACUAGCUCAUACCAUCUGUAAAGUACAAUGAGGAGAAUUAGGGCAAAUAUGGGGGGUAGGGUAGGAAUAGGGAGUUGAUGGAGAAGGUAGCUCUUUCUCUGUAGUUCCAAACACACAGGGGUUAGUAUCAUGUAUACAAUGUCUAAGUUCUCCAGGCUGCUUUCCCAUUAGGCUCUGGGUUACUCAAGAUCAAUGUUGGCACAGAGUUGGCCUCCGAAUGAGAUUAGGCUGGAAGAAAGAACAAAUGAAAUGCAGUGUCUUCUCAACAUCCCAUGAACAGGCUGAAAUCAGCAUGGAACAUCUUUCCCCUUCAGAUUGCCUUUGAUGUUCUGUUGCAACUGAACACAAAUAUGGGAAGAGAGGAGCUAGACAGAAGGUAUGAUGUGUUCUGGGCUUUUUAGAGCGUUGUCUCGAUGUCAACCAGGGGACAAGCCUAAGCAGGCUCAUGCCAUUAGUUAUCUUAAGCAGCUUUUGGGAGUGGGUAUGAGAAAAGAAAAAGAGAAAACAAAACA